UAUAAAAGUAAUCAAAUACCCUGAAGUAGACUUGCGAGUAUCAACAUCACCGACCAUAUCUGAAUCAAUGUAACCACAAAGAAUAGGCUUUCUUGUACAAAAACACAAACUUAGACUAGAAGUGCCACAAAGAUAGCUCAUAAUACACUUCACAGAUAUCUCAUAAACUGUCCACCAGCCCAAACCCAAUUCUGCUGACCUACUCCCCAAACAGCCCAAUCCUUCAAUCCCUUCCCCUUAACAGCAAUGUACUACUUGGUACAACAACACACAAUGUAAAACUCGACCCGAUACGGUACAAAACUAAACAACGUACAACAAUCGACCAACAACAUCAACACACGAAAAACAUACAACGGUCAAAACCAACAACAACAAUGUUCAACGACCACAACAACUUCAACGGCAAAACAACACCAAAGGUGUUCAAUAGUAACGACAAACAACAGCUGCAGCAACAGUUCAGCAAGAACGGUCUAUUUUUAUACCAACCUUAUCUUCAAAUAUCAAAUUUUGAAAUUCCUCAAAUACCCCUUUGUUCAUACAAAAUCAGUCCCAAAAUCUCCUAUAAAUACCCAGUAAAGAACAAGAGUUAAAGGGUGAUUCUUGGGGGGAAACUUAGAGAUUCUGGAGAAGCAUUCCUCUAACCGAGAAAUCCUUUGAAUUCAUUUAAAUUCCAGAAAUUCUGAUUUUGAAUUCAUCUUUGUCAUCUCGUCGUCCUGGUUCGUGCGUCUAAAAAUAUGAAUCUGCCUCACCGAGUCCACAGGACGACAAUCCUUGCAUCCCUUCGGUCACAACCCAUUCUUUGAAGUCAAAAAUGGAUUAAUGUGCAAAAACAACUGCUGGUAUACACUGAUAUAUGUCAUAUAUACGGGAUGUACAGGUCAAAAGUAGCUGGUAUAUGCUCAUAUAUGAUGUGUACUGAAAAUUAGGAGCAAGUGCAUAGAUUUGUAGACAUGGAUACAUAGCAUAUAUACAAUAAAACGCAGGAAAAAAUAAGGCUGAUAUACAUGUGGCAUACAUGCUGAAAAAUGGACCCAGAGUCCAUUAAGAAUGCAGUCCAAGGCUGGAAAGACCAAAAAAUGGGCCAAAAGCCCAAUCCAAACUUUUAUUUCUAUUUAUUUCCUUUGUAAUUCAUUGUUGAUAUCUAUGAUCUAACUUUAACUAAGAGAAAAUAUAUCGAAUCACCCCUAAACUUGUAGCCAAAA